rnacentral:rRNA from 1 species
UGGGGAAUAUUGCACAAUGGGGGAAACCCUGAUGCAGCGACGCCGCGUGAACGAAGAAGGUAUUCGUAUCGUAAAGUUCUGUCCUAUGGGAAGAUAAUGACAGUACCAUAGAAGAAAGCUCCGGCUAAAUACGUGCCAGCAGCCGCGGUAAUACGUAUGGAGCGAGCGUUGUCCGGAAUUAUUGGGCGUAAAGGGUACGCAGGCGGUUUAAUAAGUCGAAUGUUAAAGAUCGGGGCUCAACCCCGCAAAGCAUUGGAAACUGAUAAACUUGAGUAGUGGAGAGGAAAGUGGAAUUCCUAGUGUAGUGGUGAGAUACGUAGAUAUUAGGAGGAAUACCAGUAGCGAAGGCGACUUUCUGGACACAAACUGACGCUGAGAUACGAAAGCGUGGGGAGCAAACAGG